UGCGUAGGCGGAAUAUUAAGUCAGUGGUGAAAUCCUGCGGCUCAACCGUAGAACUGCCAUUGAUACUGAUAUUCUUGAAUGUAGUUGAGGUAGGCGGAAUGUGUAAUGUAGCGGUGAAAUGCUUAGAUAUUACACAGAACACCGAUUGCGAAGGCGGCUUACUAAACUAUGAUUGACGCUGAGGCACGAAAGCGUGGGGAGCGAACAGGAUUAGAUACCCUGGUAGUCC
rnacentral:rRNA from 1 species